UUUGCCUACGGGGGGCAGCAGUGGGGAAUAUUGCACAAUGGGGGAAACCCUGAUGCAGCGACGCCGCGUGAGUGAAGAAGUAUCUCGGUACGUAAAGCUCUAUCAGCAGGGAAGAAAAAAAGUCUUUGGCUUUGGACGGUACCUGACUAAGAAGCCCCGGCUAACUACGUGCCAGCAGCCGCGGUAAUACGUAGGGGGCAAGCGUUAUCCGGAUUUACUGGGUGUAAAGGGAGCGCAGACGGCAGUGCAAGUCUGGAGUGAAAGCCCGGGGCCCAACCCCGGAACUGCUCUGGAAACUGUGCGGC
rnacentral:rRNA from 1 species